rnacentral:lncRNA from 1 species
CUAAUAUCAUCACAGGAGUUUUCAUUUUCUUCUUUGCAAUUGUAGAGUUACUUCGCGGAAGACUCAUCAUCUUCAGUUGAAAUACUGUACUCGAAGAAGACUUCCCACAAGAUCAUGAACAAACAUCGAAAAAAGAAUGGCAGCACUCAGACCGUGCGUUUCAAGGUCCUCGCCAGCACAGGUGCACUUGGUGACUGCAAUGAGAAUUCAAUACUUUGAUUUUAAAACAUUCCUAUUUGCAGAAUGACCACUCUCCAAAGAUAAGACCCUCUCCCUGUCCCCAAAAUGAACAGUGCACCCAAGGCAAGAUUGAAGCCGGGUUCCAGAUGCACUUCUGCCAUUCAUUGGAUGUACAAACUUCUGCAAAAUACUGAUUUUAUUCUUUGUCUGCAAAAGGCACGAAGUGGAGUCUACUCCAGAGAUGGAUCACUCAAGAUCACAAUGCCAUAUUUCUUCUCCUUGGAGAGGCCUAUUUAGUGAAAAGGAUCAGGCAUUUUGAGGAAGAAAUUCUAAAACAAAUCAAGAAGAACUUGCCAGGUCCAGUUGGAAAGUCAAGUGGUACUGUUAACUAACUGCUUUGUGAGUCAGUACCCUGGUGAGUCCUGCAGUAUGUCUAGUGCCAGGUCUACCUGUUUCCAGCUUUCUCUUCUGCAUCACUGUUCCUUAUUAUUUGUGAUUCAGCACACUAGAGGCAUGCUGGAAGCCCUUUGAGAUAGGCAGGGCAGAUAAUAUUAAUUAUUUAAAGAAAAGUCAUACUCAGACAGGUUAAGGGACUAUACAGAUGGGAGAUACUGACUUGAAACCAGUUCUGCUUUCAUACCAUUCAUUGCAUUAUGUAGAGGAUAGGACUGAAGAUCAAAAAUAUGCAGCAGUCCUCCAUCCCCUUAUCUACAGUUUUGUUUUGCAGUUUCAGUUACCCAUACUUAACCAUGGCCCA